UUGACCUUCAAAUGAAUGACAUUGAAAUGACCAGUGGUCAUCUUCUAGUACUGGCCAAUCUUUAUUUCAAGUUUGAAGACUCUAGGUACAAGCAUACCAAAGUUAUAACAUGAAAUAAGAACUUUAACAUUUUUACAUUCAAGGUCACAGUGACCUUGACCUUCAAAUGAAUGA